rnacentral:lncRNA from 1 species
UCCAGUCCCUCGUCUUUCAGACAGAAUUCUUAGGUCUUAUAGAGGAUGUAACUUGCUACAGUUCCACCGCGACUUCGCGGAUUAGCCAAACCUCACACCCGCCCGCGUCUGUGUUAGUGCGUUUCCUCACCAUGUGCCAGAGGCAGCCACUUUCCCUCUUUGGGUGCCAGGCUUCUCGACUGUACCGAGAUUUUGUAUCUCGUGUCCUUUCAUUACUGAUAUUUAGGGAAAUACCGCACCAUCAUUUAUCCUUGGGUGGCUCGGCUCCCUCUCUAUAUGAUGGGGAGUGAAGCACAGCUUAAAGAGGAUGAAGGCUGGGCUUCUGCCCUCUCGUGGUGAUCUUCUCCUCCAGUUCGCUCAGGCCAAGAAGGCUCCAAGCAGCCGAGUCGUUCCAUCCCGAAGCGGGGCUGAGAGAAGUAGGGGCCGGGGGAGGAGGAGCAGUAGCCGUCGGCCGGCGUGUCUCCUUGGGAAGGGGCGGGCGCGGGGGACCCGUUAGCUUCGAGGGUGUCUGGUUUCUGAGUUCGUUUCCUGCCACCCCCCCAAGACCGAGCUCGGCCUCACCCAAGACUUCCUGUAUUGGUGGCCCCGCAGAUCUGGAUUCUUUUUAUGAUCAUUUGCAGGGAGACCUUAGGCCAGUCCCUUCCCACCCGCAAGCUCAGUUUUCUUUUCUGAGAAUCGAAGGCGGAAGGAAGGCUUUUAUCCUUAGGAUUUCGAGACUUGGUGCCGACAGCCAGAGGCUCCGGCCGAGAUGCAGCUUUCCGGCUGCGGGUGCAGGGUUGCGGGCAGCGACCCGCGAGAGCACGGCGGCCAGCCUUCAAGGAUUUUAGUCGCGUUUUUCGUGGCGACGAGCUCCGGGCAGACCCAGCCCCACCAAGCACUGGGCAACUGCCUUCGGAAGCAGGAGGCAAAGAGUCCAAGUCCUCGCUCCGCCGAUCCGGGUGUGGAAGCCAAUCGAACAAUUUGCAUGAGGACCUUCCUCCGCAGAUGCACACUCGAACGACUGGAGAGGCUUUUCACUCGCUCAAAACACUCCCAGGUUCCUUCUUCCAAAGUAACCACGCUGCGAAAAUCCAGUUCUACCACGUUGUCUCCAGGACAUCUUGCGACUCACCGCAAUCAAGGCUGUUUCUUCAGUCAUCGAAUGGGAGGGGAAGAUUUGGUUGGCUCGAUCAGUUCUUGUUCUUACCCCAUGGAAGAGGAGAAUGAAAAGUAUGCUCCAGUCCACGAGGUUACUAGGCAUUGUCUAUUGCUUAAGUCAUUCAUAGGUCUUGCUUCUAUAUGUAUGACUACUUUUUAA